rnacentral:tRNA from 1 species
UAUAUUUUAGUGUAUGAUGCACAAAAGAUUUUGAUUCUUUUAGUAAUAGUUUGAUUCUAUUAAAUAUAA